CCAGGCCUUGCACCUGGAUCAAUGGGCUGCCCUAAUGAAGGAUAUCAAAAAUGAAGGGGCAGCUAAAGAAAAAUAAAAGACACCUCAGAAAGUAGCCUGCCUCUUUGACAAGGGACAUGCCUUCAGAGGAACAUAACAGAAACCUCUGAGAAUUGUCAACAAUAAAAAGACUGAGCAACAAGGGAAACUGGUAGGAAGCCAAAGGUUUUAAGAGGUGAGAGUGGAGAAAUGCUGUGCUUUUAUUGAUCCUCUCCAAAGGAACACCUUUAAAAAAGGCAAAAAUCAAGUUACCAGGAAAAUAUUUUUUAAAAACCACGAACAGUCUAAGAGCACUGAACAUUUUGAAUCAUUUGCCUUUUCUCAACACUGGAUUUUAAGCAAGGAACAAGACUAUUCCAGUUCUAAAUGCUUUAAUGAACAAGGGGUAUUGGGUUUUAGCAUCAACAUGAUCUAUCCUCACUCUGAAGCUUUAACUUGAGUAGCUGCUGUGCUUUGUAAAGCUUCAAUCCAAUUCAUUUGAUAACUACAAUUACCAAAUCUGGGCAUUGCUGACUACACAGUUCAAAAAAACAGCAUGGAGGGAAGACCUGCUGAGAACCUUAGAAUCUAUCGAUAAGCUCUUGAAAUGGUUUAAAGUAAUAAACCACUUCAAUUGAAAGGGCAAUAAAAUGUUUUUCGUGUAUAUAUGU
rnacentral:lncRNA from 1 species